GCCGGUGUGUCGGAAUGGCAGACGAGGCAGACUCAAAAUCUGUUGUCAGUGAUGGCGUACGGGUUCAAGUCCCGUCACCGGCA
rnacentral:tRNA from 1 species